rnacentral:rRNA from 1 species
AGUGAACGCUGGCGGUAGGCCUAACACAUGCAAGUCGAACGGCAGCACAGGAGAGCUUGCUCUCUGGGUGGCGAGUGGCGGACGGGUGAGGAAUACAUCGGAAUCUACUUUUUCGUGGGGGAUAACGUAGGGAAACUUACGCUAAUACCGCAUACGACCUACGGGUGAAAGCAGGGGAUCUUCGGACCUUGCGCGAUUGAAUGAGCCGAUGUCGGAUUAGCUAGUUGGCGGGGUAAAGGCCCACCAAGGCGACGAUCCGUAGCUGGUCUGAGAGGAUGAUCAACCGCACUGGAACUGAGACACGGUCCAGACUCCUACGGGAGGCAGCAGUGGGGAAUAUUGGACAAUGGGCGCAAGCCUGAUCCAGCCAUACCGCGUGGGUGAAGAAGGCCUUCGGGUUGCAAAGCCCUUUUGUUGGGAAAGAAAUCCAGCUGGUUAAUACCCGGUUGGGAUGACGGUACCCAAAGAAUAAGCACCGGCUAACUUCGUGCCAGCCGCCGCCGUAA